rnacentral:misc_RNA from 1 species
UGUUGUUCCACAUACCCGGACCUGUUCAUGGAAGAGAAAGCAACUUUAUAAAAGUGCUACCGCUAGAGAAAAUCUAACAACUUAGAAGUUUUGAUUUUCAAAUAUGGUGAACAAAGAUAUAACAAUAAGAAAUAGGAAACUACCUUAAAUGGACCCACUCUAGGAGGCAAAAGUAAUAAAGUAACAGAUAUGUUAGCAAGGAGGUAACACAAAGAUGAUAAUAAUAAUAAUAAUGGCAAAGCAGGUAAGAAAAGUUUCUGAUGUAUUGUAGAAUAAUCUAGAACUUUAUAAGGAUCCUGCAGCAGCUAGCUGGAAAUCUGAGCUUCAUAAAAGUGAGUUAAGCCUCAUAAACAUAUGCACUUCCUCAUAAGAAAUGUCAAGGAACAGAAGCCAGAAUUUGUUAAGUGUUCCUGAUUAAAUUCAACAACAGGCAUGGACAGGACAAUUGAAGAACAUAAAAGAACAAUUACAGAACCGAUAAAGUUCAUGAAAAGAAGAAAAUUGAAGCUCAUUACAACCAUGAACAACUAUUUCAAUCACACCAGCAUGAAAUGCACACAUGACAAUGGUACGUUGCAUAGGAGUAAACACAUGUUGCUCAAUCUUGCAAAAUAUCGAACAUAUAUUUUGGCCACUUCUUUCUGUGAUCACAUCUAAAUGAUAGAAAUGAAUCUUUCAUCAUUUAAGUUCUAACUUGGUAUGCCAAAAAAAAAAAUGUAAUACAGUUGUAAUAAUUUUGAAAUCUAAUCUUUUUAGUUUCUAUGACAUUGUUUCAAAGCACCAAAAUAAGACAAAAAAAGAAAAAGAAAAUUUCGAAUUUCAAGAAUUCAGUUUCAGGAUCCAUACCUUUCCUGAAAUUUUGUGCAUCUCACCAAGAAUUGAGGCAAGAAGAGAGGACUUUCCGGAUCCC